GCUGGAGAAGGCUUUGACAUGUCCCAAUCUUUAUCUAUUGCAAAUUAUGUCUAAGUUAGGCAAGACACUAGCAAAGUGCGAGAGUGACCUGAUGAGCUCUAAACUUAAUUAUUUGGAAUUGUUUAAAUCCGAGAUUGAGGAUGACCCAAUGGGGAUACUGGGAAAGCUUCCUUGCUUGGUAACACUGCGAUUCCUGUAUGACUCAUUUGUUGGGGAGGAGAUGAGGUGUCCAGCAAACAGUUUUCUUCGCCUCAAGAAGCUAACAUUAAGAGGUUUGCCAAAGUUGAGGGAGUGGAGAGUGGAGUCAGGAGCCAUGCCCCUUCUCUCUCGAUUAACAAUCAGAGAGUGUUCUUGUCUAGAGAUGAUUCCAGAGGGAUUGAGUGGCAUUUCUACCCUUCAGACUCUCGUAAUUAAAAAAAUGCCGCAAUUGGGCGAAAGAGUAUCACCAGCAGGACAAGAUUUCUACAAAGUAUGCCAUGUCCCUUCAAUUAUCAUCAAGGACUAGUCUGUACCCAACCAGGCGGUGGCAAUGGUGCUGGCAAUGUGGGGGUUCGUGUCGUACUCAUACAUCUACCAGCAUCAUCUCUAUGAUUAGAAGAUGAAGGAAGAGACAAAAAUGAUGGAGGUGUGCAGAUUCAGCUUGUUGAUGAAAGAGAAUACCUUGAUUUGAGUGCUUAAGUCUUCAUUAUGUUUGCUUUAAGAUUAAAUAUAGGCUGCAUUUUGUUUGAUAACUUGUUAUUAUUGAUGCUAUUCAGCUAGUCUUGGGAAUCUACUCUUUCUGGUUAUGAACUUUGGCUAGAUAAUUAUGCAAAGUUCAGAUGGUAUUGUUUUGU